rnacentral:lncRNA from 1 species
AAAAAAAAGGCAAGGAGGGUGUGUCCUACCCUCUGAGAGGCCCCCGCAGAGGGGAGCAGGAGAGCAGCACACUAGCAUCCUGCUCGCGGAAGCCUGGAACGCAGGACAUGGUUUCUGCCAGAAAGAGCUGAGCCAGGCCAGGCUGCGGAGCUGGAAGCCUCUGUGGCUCCACGCUGGCUUCCCAUCCCCCAUCCUCCCGGAGAAGGCAAAGGUGGCCUCUCCAACUGUGGUGUCCUUUCAGUGUCACAGGACUGGGGUAAUACCAGUCACACAACUCCAGUCUCUAUUUACCUUUCCGAGAGCUUCAGGAAACCACCCAGAUGAAUCCUCUUUCCCUGGGGAGUGGCCAAAACAAGUCUCCUCUUUUUUCUACCUACUUCUGCCCCACUGUUAGCUGGAAAACGUAGCUUUAUACAGUCAUAAAGCUGCAAGGGACCUUAAAGAUGAUUUAUUUCCAUUUUAUUUUUUGGUCUGGGAAAACCAAGCCCAGUCAAGUGAAAAGUCUUGCUGCAUCCUCUUUCCACGACAUAGGCAUUCCCUUCAAAGAAUGUAGGUCAUAGAAAUGGAAUUCUGCCAUUCUAUAAGCCUUAGAGGGGUGGUGAAAGUAUUGGCUUUUAACUCUUUCCAUACUCUUAGCCAGAAGGCAAAAAGAAUGGUCAUUAUCUCAUUAGGGACAGAAUUGCUUAGGGAGGCCCGACACUGUGGCUCAAUCCGGACACGGUGACUAUAAUCCCAGCAUUUUGGGAGGCUGAGGUGGGCGGAUCACCUGAGGUCAGGAGUUCGAGACCAGCCCGGCCAACAUGGUGAAACCCCCGUCUCUACUAAAAAUACAAAAAUUAGCCGGGCAUGGUGGCAGGCGCCUGGAAUCCCAGCUACUCGGGAGGCUGAGGCAGAAAAGAAUUGCUUGAACCCAGGAGGUGGAGGUUGCAGUGAGCCGAGAUUGCACCACUGCACUGUCCAACCUGGGUGACAGAGCAAGGCUUCGUCUCAAAAAAAAGAAAAAAAAAAAAGACUUAAGGACUUGAUUUAUGGUCCUAAACACAGUUUUCCUAGGCUCCCUCACAGCUGGCAACUCCACUUUGCCCCUCUGGGCCUUUGAGAGCUCCCUUCUUUACAUUUCUUAGUUCAGGGAUCACCACAGCUUAAAACUUAAUGGUUUGGAAACAAGAAUUCCUUUCCCUUCUUAGAAGACCUUCUCUUCUCAGGUUUCAGUUUUCUGGUGGUUUAGCCAGGUCAUCCUGUGUAUUGAGAUCAAGAUCAGACCUCCAAUCCAAAAAUUCCAGCUUUGGCUUUGGUGGGGAAAAGCAUGUUUACUUAGUCUGGAGCAGUGAAAUCCUAGACUUUGGAUUUCAGAGCUGUAAAGUUUCCAGAAAAAAAAAAUGUUGAGACCAGGCACAGUGGCUCAUGCUUGUAGUCCCAGCACUUUGAGAGGCCAAGGCGGAUGGGUCACUUGAGCCCAGGAGUUUGAGACCAGCCUGGGCAACAUGGUGAGGCCCCAUGUCAUGUAAAAAUUAGCCAGGCAUGGUGGUGCAUACCUGUAGUACCGGUGACUCAGGAGGCUGAGGUAGGAGUAUCACUUGAGCCUGGGAGUUCGAGGUAUGAUAAUGUCUGUGAACAGCUACUGGACUCCAGCCUGGGCAACACAGCCAGACCCCGUUUAAAAAAAAAAGUCAACCAACCCCAGUUGUAGAGUCCCAAGCAGUGGUUCUCAAACUUGAAGUACAUCAGAAUCACCUGGAGGGCUUGUUAAAACACCACGUGCUGCAUCUCACCCCACAGUUUCUUAUUCAUUAGGUCUAAGGUGGGAAGCCAAGAAUUUGCAUAUCUAACAAGUUUCCAGGUGAUACUGAAGGUGCUGGCCUGGAACCACAAUUGGGCUAGAGAGGAAGAAAACAUAUAAUUUAUUCAUGGAAUUGCCAGCUGGUUAGUCUUAGAAAUUUGACGGUAAAGCCCUCCUUCUCCCUCACCCCACUUUCUAUUGAUCAACAAAUGCUGCCAAUUAGUAAUAAUGUGAUAACUACAUUAUCAAGCAUUACUAGGUGCCACAUGCUAUGAUAAACAUUUUACAUGGAUUAUCUCAUUUAAUCCUCACAAUAACCCUGUGAAGUAAGGUAUUAGUAUAGUCAUUUUACAGAUAAGCAACCUGAGGUAGAGGUUAAAUAACACACAGCCACUAAACGGGAGAACUGUGAUUGCUAUUUGCAGUUUCACACCAGAAACUUUGCUCUUAACAGCUGAGUCUCCUCCUGUCAUUCCCUCUAUAUCCCCAUACUACUAGUAUCUUAACCACUCAUCAUCUCACACCUGCACUAACAGCCUUCAAGUUGGCCUCCGGCUUUUGGUGCAGAGACGCAAAUAUUGAAGUUAGCUUUCAGAUACACAAAUCUAAUCAUUCUAUACUUUGGUGGAAAUCCUCUGAUGUUUCACCAAGGCUGAUAAAUUAUACAUUCCUUAACUGGGCCUUCAGACCUUCAUAAUCUGGUCUCAAUCUGUUUUAUCCCCUACAUGCCCCACUAUCCAGAACUACACUCCAAUGAACUUCUCCCAUUUUCUACAGUUACAUCCUAUUUUUUUUUUGAAACGGAGUUGCGCUCUUCUCACCCAGACUAGAGUGCAGUGGUGAGAUCUCGGCUCACUGCAACCUCCGCCUUCUGGGUUUGAGUGAUUCUCCUGUCUUGCCUUAGCCUCCCUAUUAGGAGGGACUACAGGCACAUGCCACCACGCCCAGCUAAUUUUUUUUUUUGAGACAGAGUCUGUCUCCCAGGCUGGAGUGCAGUGGCGCGAUCUCGGCUCACUGCAAGCUCUGCCUCCCAGGUUCAUGCCAUUCUGCCUCAGCCUCCCAAGUAGCUGGGACUACAGGCGUCUGCCAGUACGCCCAGCUAUUUUUUUUAAUUUUUAGUAGAGACGGGGUUUCACCGUCUUAGCCAGGAUGGUCUUGAUCUCCUGACCUCGUGAUCUGCCCGCCUCGGCCUCCCAAAGUGCUGGGAUUACAGGCAUGAGCCACCGCACCCGACCAAACGUUAUGACCACAAAGGGACUCAAACCCUCAAUCUUCUGAUCUGAAGUCAGACACCUUAUCCAUUAAGGCCACACGGUCUCCUACUCUAAUUUUUGGAUUUUUAGUAGAGACUGGGGGUUUCACCAUGUUGGCCAGGCUGGUCUCAAACUCCUCACCUCAAGCGAUCUGCCUGCCUCGGCCUCCCAAAGUGCUAGGAUUACAGGUGUGAGCCACCAGACCCAGCCAUAAUUUUUAAAUUUUUUGUAGAGACAGGGUCUCACUAUGUUGCCCAGGCUUGUCCCAAACGCCUGGCUUCAGGUGAUCCUCAUGCCUUGGCCUCCCAAAGUGUUGAGAUUACAGGCGUGAGCCACCACACCCGGCCCUAUUUUUUAAUAGAACUGCCACCCUCAGUCAAGCUAAAGGUCAAAGGUAGGUAGAUGCUUUCUCUUAAUAUAUCUAAACAGCUCAUUUAAUCAUUUAACCAAUAUUUAUUAAAUGCCUACUUUGUGGCAGGUAUGGUUCUAGGUGCUGAGGAUAUGGCAGUAACAAAACAUGAAGCAGCCCAGUGCUGUGGCUCACACUUUUAAUCCCAGCACUUUGGGAGGCUGAGGCAGGUGGAUCUCUCGAGGUCAAGAGUUUGAUACCAGCCUGGUCAACAUGGCGAAACCCUGUCUCUACUAAAAACACAAAAAUUAGCCAGGCGUGGUGGUGCACGCCUGUAAUCCCAGCUACUUGGGCAGCCGAGGCAGAACAGUCACUUGAACCUGGGAGGCAGAGGUUGCGGUGAGCCGAGAUUACACCACUGCACUCCAGCCUGGGUAAGAGUGAGACUCCGUCUUAAAAAACAAACAAACCCCCCAAAACUAUGAAGUUUACAUUGUAGUGGGGGAGGAUAAGGUAAUAAGGUAAAUUAGAGGUAAUACAUGCUAAGGAGAAAAAUCAAGCAAAAAAAGGGAAGAGGCGGUUUGGAGAAGGCUGUGAGUAUACAUAGCGGGGGCCAAAGGUCUCAGCUGACAUACAGUAAAGAGCUGAAGGAGGUGAGGGAGGAAGUCAUGUGGACAUCUGAAGGAAGAGGGAUCUAGGUAGAGGGAACAGCAACUGCAAGGGCCUGAAGGGGCCAACAGAAAGGAGUGAAUAACAGUAGAAACUAAAGUCAGAGAGCAGUACCAGGGAGCCAGAUCCUACAAGCCUUAAUGAUUUUACUUUUACUCCAAGUGAGAUGGGAAGCCAUGAGAGGGUUCUGAGUAGAGAAAGAUCAUGAUCUUACUCCCAUCUUACCAGGACCACUGUGGCUGCUGAGUAGACUUAAGUGAUGGAAGGCAAAGGUUGAAACUGAGAGACCAAUUACAGUUACUGCAAUUAAAACAAGUGAGAUAGGAUUGUGUGGCAGAGGCCAGGGUGGAAGUUGUGGAGGUGUUGAGAAACUGUGGGAUUUUGGAC